ACGCACGCUGGCGGCGUGCCUAAUACAUGCAAGUAGAACGCUGAAGAGAGGAGCUUACUCUUCUUGGAUGAGUUGCGAACGGGUGAGUAACGCGUAGGUAACCUGCCUUGUAGCGGGGGAUAACUAUUGGAAACGAUAGCUAAUACCGCAUAACAAUGGAUGACACAUGUCAUUUAUUUGAAAGGGGCAAUUGCUCCACUACAAGAUGGACCUGCGUUGUAUUAGCUAGUAGGUGAGGUAAUGGCUCACCUAGGCGACGAUACAUAGCCGACCUGAGAGGGUGAUCGGCCACACUGGGACUGAGACACGGCCCAGACUCCUACGGGAGGCAGCAGUAGGGAAUCUUCGGCAAUGGGGGCAACCCUGACCGAGCAACGCCGCGUGAGUGAAGAAGGUUUUCGGAUCGUAAAGCUCUGUUGUAAGUCAAGAACGGGUGUGAGAGUGGAAAGUUCACACUGUGACGGUAGCUUACCAGAAAGGGACGGCUAACUACGUG
rnacentral:rRNA from 1 species